rnacentral:rRNA from 1 species
AUAAGCGGAGGAAAAGAAACCAACUGGGAUUACCUUAGUAACGGCGAGUGAAGCGGUAAAAGCUCAAAUUUGAAAUCUGGUACUUUCAGUGCCCGAGUUGUAAUUUGUAGAAUUUGUCUUUGAUUAGGUCCUUGUCUAUGUUCCUUGGAACAGGACGUCAUAGAGGGUGAGAAUCCCGUUUGGCGAGGAUACCUUUUCUCUGUAAGACUUUUUCGAAGAGUCGAGUUGUUUGGGAAUGCAGCUCAAAGUGGGUGGUAAAUUCCAUCUAAAGCUAAAUAUUGGCGAGAGACCGAUAGCGAACAAGUACAGUGAUGGAAAGAUGAAAAGAACUUUGAAAAGAGAGUGAAAAAGUACGUGAAAUUGUUGAAAGGGAAGGGCAUUUGAUCAGACAUGGUGUUUUUUGCAUGCACUCGCCUCUCGUGGGCUUGGGCCUCUCAAAAAUUUCACUGGGCCAACAUCAAUUCUGGCAGCAGGAUAAAUCAUUAAGAAUGUAGCUACUUCGGUAUUUAUAGCUUUUUGGAAACCUAGCCUUUAAAAAUCUUUAAAGCAACCACAACACACAAGCA